GAGUUUGAUCGUGGCUCAGGAUGAACGCUAGCGGCAGGCUUAAUACAUGCAAGUCGAACGGUAACUUUGGUAGCAAUAUUGAAGCAAGAGUGACGUACGGGUGCGUAACACGUAUGCAACCUACCUUGUACAGGAGUAUAGCUCGGGGAAACUCGAAUUAAUCCUCCAUAAGAUAGUGGUGAGGCAUCUCACAGCUAUAAAAACUGAGGUGGUACAAGAUGGGCAUGCGUCUGAUUAGUUAGUUGGUGGUGUAACGGACCACCAAGACGAUGAUCA
rnacentral:rRNA from 1 species